rnacentral:rRNA from 1 species
UACAGAGGGUGCGAGCGUUAAUCGGAAUUACUGGGCGUAAAGCGCGCGUAGGCGGCUUUGCAAGUCGGGUGUGAAAUCCCCAGGCUUAACCUGGGAACUGCAUUCGAGACUGCAUUGCUAGAGUAUGGGAGAGGGAAGUGGAAUUUCAGGUGUAGCGGUGAAAUGCGUAGAUAUCUGAAGGAACAUCAGUGGCGAAGGCAGGUCUCUGGGCCGAUACUGACGCUGAGGAGCGAAAGCGUGGGGAGCGAACAGG